rnacentral:rRNA from 1 species
AUGGCGACGGCGGAUGCGGGGGCGACGGCUUGGAGUUUCUAUCAGAUCUUGUUGACAGCUACCUUCCAUAUCUCCCACUCAUGCAGCGUUCCCCUGCCGGAUCUUCGCGGCGGCGAGUCCGUACUGGACGCUGAAACCACGCAAAGUCUGGUGUGCACCACCGCUCACUCCAGCAUUGGUGAUGUAGGCGACAUGGCCCUGACAGUGCAUUUAGAUUUGAACAGCAGUUGCGAAGGGCUGAUUAUGUCAUCCCCCAACUCAGAGCAGUCAGCUGGCAAAGACGAUCCACCGGCCCUGGGCUGGACGAAAAGGGUGCAUGUUGGGCGAGCACCUCUAGAACAGCCACAUUGUGCUGGAAGGGUGAGUGCCCUUGAAAAAACAUUGAGAUGCUAUGCAGAGAAGAAGACUGAAACUAUCGUAAUUCCUGCCGUCAGAGACAACUUUGAUUCACUUGGAGAGGGGGUGCCGAAAAAAAGAAGAAACACACGGUCCUGCCGUUGUAGGUGCCCAGCCAUGAUACAAUUUGCUCCGGUCGACAAAGGAUGGUACAUAAGUGAGCAUAGAACAUUCCACAAUCACUCGCUUCCAGAUAAAUGUGGCGAGAACUGUGGAGUCGGUGGUCACAGGAAGAACACCUGCAAUUAUCUUAAGGUUGUUCUGCAUGUUGUUGAAAAUGCAACUUCAGAAUGA